CUCCCACUUAGUUUCUGGUUCAGUCACAGAGGAGUCACUAUUAUCCUGUCUUCCAGUGGGUCACCAGCUACUCAUUACCCAGAAUGCUUUGCUCAUCAUGGUUGGCUCCCAGCAGCUUAGAAGGAAUAGGAUCCAACACUUCCUGUAUGUUAAGGAUAUGCAUCUGGGCCCAUUAGAAUUCUCUCCUUGGGUUUGGAAGUGUGGAUUCUGUAUCUCUUUAAAAAACGUAAUAUUUGAUCUUGGGGACCCUGGGCAGCCGUUUUAUACUCAUGAACGGAGAGAGCGGCACCGCGCUAAGAAGGAGGUGGGAGAGUUGUAAUGAGCGUCUGGCGCUCUCUUCUCCCCUUCUAGCCCUCUGCUCCUGCACUUGGGCUUUGGGAUAAAGUCAUCCAUCUGCCCCUCUUUGUGACCAGAGCGAGUGAGUGGCUUUUUAAUGGAAAGACGACUUCAAGCAUCUCUGUAUCCAGACGCGGCUGCAAAAAGCAGGGCAAAGCAACAGACAAAAGGACAGAGGUGUAUACAAACGGUUGGGAAACUGGACCGUUCCUUUGUUCCUUUCUGGGAAGUUUACAGCAAGCAGAGCCCUGAGCGGAGACUAACCAAUGAUGAGCAUGAUAUGGCCACGGCCGGAAACGCCAGGAGCGCAUCUAUUUUUUGCAGACCAGGCAAAUAGUAGUUCAUCCUUCUUCUACCUGGUAGAGAGUGGUCACUGGAGAGACGAAAGUACAACAGGAGCCUUUCAAGAUCUAUGUCUGAAGUUUUGCUGAGUCUCUAAAAUCACCCCGUGCCUUGGAGAGAGGACUCAGCUUGGAAUGUGUAGCUGGCCUCAGAGCCUCAGUGGAGAUCACUUUGGGUGAGAUCCUGGCUCACUCUCCCGCUCUCUUCUUGUAACUAUCAGGCAGGUCAUCAAUCUUCCCACAAGUUGACCACAUUUUUGGACACAAGCAAGUCUCUACAGAUACAAGAAUAUUGAGGCUGCAGGCCAACGUUGGAACCGAUAUUUGCAUCAGUGAAGAGUGCAGUCGUUAAUUCAGAAAGUGAUCAAAAGAAGGCACUGUAAGUAGAGUUUGUCAUGGGCCCUUUCCUCCCCAGACUUUCUGCCUCUCGCUGUAUGUUUUCCCAAAGCUUGGCUCAGCAUGGGAGCUUAAGAUGCAAAAUGUUGGGUGAGAAGCUGCUUCCUGGGUUCUUGCAAGU